GGGAUCAUUUCUUCAAUGGGCUUUGUCUGACUGUCCCAGCCCCACCUACCCCGUGACUAGAGCUGGCCUUUUAUGACCUCAUAUGCCCCUUUACUCCCCUGUGCUCACAUCUAUUGUAGCAAGAACCGCCUUGCUAAAUAACACUGCAUUUCCUUGUCAAUUUAACCUUCAAAACUGUAGGCUGAAGCUAAUUAAUGGCAGAACUCUGACUUGUUCAUUGUUAUUAUUGCUCCUACAAUGGUACAAGACAUCAGAUAAGUGGCAAAUGCUGACCCAAGAUGAUGCUAUCCACACCACCAGAUACAAAGAGGGGGCACGUGACCUGGGCUGAGCCAAUCAGUGCAGUCUCUUUCCAUCCCCUUUCCUGGACCCAACAAUUAGUUUAGGAAAAGAGUUUACCUGAUGAAGCAUUACUGAUGCUGCUACCACCCCAUGGAGACUUGUUGGAAGAUGCCAUGGCUGCUACUGCCUAACUGAAGAUUGCCAAUGAAGAACAGUAUUCUCCUACUGGAUUUGGGAUCCCACGGUAAACCACAGUUUGUGUCUGGGGCACUUUUCUAUUCAGCUUUCUUAGGGUGCUUCGUGGUCACCUGAUGGCUGCUAAUGUUCAGGCAACAUGGCUGUCAUUUCAAGCAGGAAGAAGGAAGAGAAGAUAGACACAUAAGACAUGACCAUUUGAAGACAGAGGCAGAGACUGGCGUCCUGCAUCCACCAACCAAAAAACACCUGGGCCUACCAGAAGCCACAAAAGGCAAGGAAGGAUCCUCUGCAGAGGGUUUUGAAGAACCAUGAUCCUGCCAAUACUUUGAUUUUGGACUUCUGUCUCCAGAUUUAUAAGAGAAGAAAUAUCUGUUGUUUUAAGCUACGCAGUUUGAGAUACUUUGUUACAAUAGCCUGGAAAACCAAUACACUAGGAGAUCUGAAAAAUUGCAAUGGUGGUUUCCAAGUGGAACUUACUCAAAGCCUGAACAACAGACAGAAAACCUUAGAAAUUCAGUUCUUGGGCUGAGGCUUUGGGCCAGGGGCUGACUGAUUCUGUGCCUACGAAGAAGGAGAUGAGUACAAUCUACUUAGCAAGCACCUGGCUCUGAAAGCCAAACUGGCUUAGACCCAGAGAAGUAAAUACCAGGCAAAAAAGUGGCUUUGCUACCAGUGCCUGGUACAUAGAGGUACCUGUCUGUACACAUGAAGGAGAGACGUGACAUCCUCUAUUAACACUUUAGAUGUGCCGGUGUGUCCUGUGCUACUUCAAUCCUUUUUUCUUGAACAUCACUAAUUAUUUCCUGGAAGGAUGGUAACGCGUUUGUAAAGAACCACCUAAUUGUCAACCUUUUUACUCUAACUAUAAUUUUUCUUUAUGGUAUUCCAAAAAAAAAGAAAAAAGAAAAUAUUGCUAUUUACAGGAUUUUAGUUAAAAUGCUUAUCAAAAUAACACUCAAAUAUAAAACUGCAUUCAAAAGGCAUAUAAUAACUUGAAAUUUGAAGCCUUAUAGAUCAAUCCUGUAUUGAUCCAAACAGUUUAAAAGCUUGUUAGGAGUGGAUUAGCAGUAAUGCAUUAAGCAGUAAUGCAUUAAGUACAGAGUGAUGCUUUUAAAAUUUGUAGAAUCAAGCAUAUGAAAUCAUUAGUAUAUAUCCAUUAAGUACAACACACUACUUAUAAAAUGUAUGGAAUCAAGUAUAUGAAGCUGGUACUACACGAAUAUUAAUUCUCAAUUCUAGAUUUAUUUAACCAUAACUUGUUAAAGGAGAAGAUCUUAAAUCCAUAAUAAAACCUGGAAAAAAUAUGAAGAAAAACUCAAGUGGAAACAAGAACAGAUAGAGAUGGAUGAGCAGAUUUAAAACAAAGUAACGAAACAAAAGCAAUCUAUUAAAAUAUCAACUGCCCUUAAAAGUGAAAAGAAGACCUUAAAAUUGAACUCAAGAGUAUAACUUUUAGAUGCUAUUAUACCAGUAAAAGAAGAAGCAGUUAUCUGCAAUAUUUUUAAAGGUCAAGGAUAUAUUAAGAAAUAGGUUGGCAAGAACAAGAGUGGCAAGAUGCCAUGUGUGCUCUAGAAAGGUGUCUCUCACCUCGGCUGCCUGCUGGUCCUCCCUGAUGACGGAUAAGGAGCCAGCCGCAGCGGCUGUGAGCAGUCAGGAAUGUGGUCACUGAAGGUGCCAUCAACAUUCCCCGCGUGUCUUGCUGUAUACAGAAGUCAGUAAUGGAAAAGACUGAGCAAUUCUAGGAAAAUAUUUCUAGUCUGCAAAAGUCAAGCGAAUCUAAUAACAAAUUGAACUGCUAAACAUGGACACUCCUUUGGAAUAAAACUUAAAAGUCAAACAAAAGUUUUUAAUCAUGUGAUCCUGCCUCCACUUCUCAAAUUUGCUAUAUCACUGGUAAAUAUCAAAUAAUGAUAAGUGCUAUGGAGGGAAACAGAGUGGGGAAAGGGGCAAACUGUGUAAAACUGCUCCUUGCAUUCGUUUCAGAGGAGCCAAAGACCUGCUAAACAAGCUCAGGGGAAUUGGCAACAGAAAACUUUGUAAGAUCUUAAACUGCUGGUAAGUCAUGUGCCAUGAAAAGAAGACAUGGCAUCAGAAUAUCUGGAUUCAGAGAGGAAAUUAACCUUUUAGCAUCUACAUAUUCUCUCCAUCACCAAGAAGAACUUCACUUUUUUCUUUUUAUUUUUUUUCAGUCUACUUUGAAAUACUCUUCAGCCUUCUUGUCUUAUCAUUACUUCACUCCAAAUUAUAUUCACUGUUUUUGUCUAUUUCUCCUACUAAAAUGCUUUUCCAAAUUCUUCUUUGUAGCAUACAUAUUGAGCAAUAUGUACAACUUUUUUUUUCUUUUCUUUCCCCCAAUUCCCUAAAGCAUGUGACUCUGGCAGAAAGAGAGAGAGAAAGAGAGUCUUCCUUCAGUUAAAUUUUAUAAAGUAGUAAAUAUACAUCACAUAGCAGAAUACUGAUAAAUUUGUUCUAUGAGUGCCUUCAAAUAGAUACAUUUAUGUUCAAAGAAAGAACUGUAAAGCUAACUUAUCAUAACAAGUGUUUCUACUUUAGAGUCUCUAAAGUAUUUUUGGAAAUAAACUCAUUAAAUUUUAUG